CGGACGGCUGAGUAACGCAUAGGAACGUACCCCAAAGUGAGGGAUAAGCACCGGAAACGGUGUCUAAUACCGCAUGUGCUCUACGGAGUAAAGUCUUCGGACGCUAUGGGAGCGGCCUAUGUAAGAUUAGCUUGUUGGUGAGGUAAAGGCUCACCAAGGCGACGAUCUUUAGCUGGUCUGAGAGGAUGAUCAGCCAGACUGGGACUGAGACACGGCCCAGACUCCUACGGGAGGCAGCAGUAGGGAAUUUUCCACAAUGGACGAAAGUCUGAUGGAGCAACGCCGCGUGCAGGAUGAAGGCUUUCGGGUCGUAAACUGCUUUUAUGAGUGAAGAUUUAAGACGGUAACUCAAGAAUAAGGGUCGGCUAACUACGUGCCAGCAGCCGCGGUCAUACGUAGGACCCAAGCGUUAUCCGGAAUUACUGGGCGUAAAGAGUUGUGUAGGCGGCUUGUUAAGCAAGAUGUGAAAUCAUAUGGCUCAACCAUAUAAACAUUUCUUGAACUGGCAGGCUAGAGGGCGAGAGAGGUUAUUGGAAUUUCUAGUGUAGGAGUGAAAUCCGUAGAUAUUAGAAGGAACACCGAUGGCGUAGGCAGAUAACUGGCCCGCUCCUGACGCUCAGACACGAAAGCAUGGGUAGCAAACGGGAUUAGAUACCC
rnacentral:rRNA from 1 species